rnacentral:rRNA from 1 species
GAUGAACGCUAGCGGCAGGCUUAACACAUGCAAGUCGAGGGGCAGCAUAAAUAGUAGCAAUACUAUUGGUGGCGACCGGCGGACGGGUGCGUAACGCGUAUACAACCUUCCCUAAACAGGGGGAUAAUCUGGAGAAAUUCGGUCUAAUACCCCAUAACAUCAGAGCAGGCAUCUGCUUUGGUUAAAAUUUCCGGAGGUUUAGGAUGGGUAUGCGUAGCAUUAGCUAGUUGGUGAGGUAACGGCUCACCAAGGCGACGAUGCUUAGGGGGACUGAGAGGUUAACCCCCCACACUGGUACUGAGACACGGACCAGAGUCGUACGGGAGGCAGCAGUGAGGAAUAUUAGUCAAGGGGCGGAAGCCUGAACCAGCCAUGCCGCGUGCAGGAUGACGGCUCUAUGAGUUGUAAACUGCUUUUGUACGAGGGUAAAGUGGGCUACGUGUAGCCUUUUGAAAGUAUCGUACGAAUAAGGAUCGGUUAACUCCGUGCCAGCCGCCGCAGUAA